AAAAUGUCUAAAUAAAAUUCGAAAGUUAACUAUAGGGGUUCAAAGUAACAAACAACAAACUUAGGGGUAUCCAUUAAUAAUAAACACUUGUUCAAUUUUGAAGCUUUCUUUCUCCUUUCUUGCCAUCAGCGGGCGUUUGGGAUUUUUCAGGUAUUGACUUUUGCUAAAACAAACAUCACAAUUGAUGAACUUGAAACAAUCUUCCAUUUCUCCUUAAUCUCAUCAAAAUCCCUUAAAAAAAGAUCCAAAAUUGUCUCAUUUUGAGAUGUCAUUAGCUACCCAUUUUUCAGCAUUUGUUAUCCUUUUUACACUUGGUGUUCAUCGUCUUCUUUGCUGCAUCUGCAAUUACCUCAAAAACCCAUCACUCUAUAGAUCAAAAACAUGGUAUUUCUCAGAAGUCAGAUGGAAAAAUCUUGAUUUAUACUCCCUUUUAAUCAUUUUACCUAUUGCCUCUUUCUCUCAUAUAUUUCUGUUCUUAGCUUUCUCAGGGAACAAUGUAGUGUAUAAAUUCUCAUUCUUACAGCAAUCUGUAGUCAUUUUCUUCUUCUGGGUGUUUAUGAUUCUUAUUGUUGUUAAAGAAAGUUUUGAUCUUUAUGCAAUUCUUGAUAGUUUGGUUUACAGUUUUGCUGGUGUUUGUUUUGCUGUUGAAUUCUUGAUGAAUGGGAAAGGACUUGUUGGUGUUAGUGGUGGUAUGUAUGGACAUUUGGGGGAGUUGGCAUUUGUUUGUGGUGGUUGUUGCUUGUGUUUAGCAGUAAAGCCAUCUUUGUUUUUUGUGGAGUUUUUGUUUUCCUGUGUACUUGUGUUGAAAGGGACUUGGGUUUUGCAAGUUGGGUUGUCAUUAUAUACUGAUAUGUUUUCACUAGAUGGAUGUAAAAAUCUUUUGGUGGGUUUAUCAAAGGGGAAAAAUGAUGUUAAAUGUGAUCUUGAUGAGAAUAAGUUGAGGGGAACAGCAUUGAUACAUCUGUUGUUUAUAGUGCAUGUUAUUGUGGUGAUGGUCAUAAGUUUUGGAUUGUUUGCGUUCUUGAAUCGAGAUAAGAGAAUGAGAUGUGGCGAUACAAGUGGACCGUUGCUAGCUCAGGUCGUAUCAGAGGGUGUGUUGAUGCGUCCGCUUCCUGAAUUAGAGUUAGAAUGAGAAACUUUGGAUGUUCUUCGAUAGAGAAGCAUUUGAAAGAAACUGCAGAAGUGGUUUACUUCUUUCUGUAUUUUGUCUUGGAGGAGAAGAUGGGGAAUGUCAACCAUUUUCGACGAAAACGGUCGAAUUCAUGGAUUUUUAAUCUCGAACGGAUCCUCUUAAGUUUACUGGUGAAAUCACUUCUAUAUCUGAUUAUUUUGAAUUUUGUGAACUUUACCAACUUUUUCAUGUGCUUGUAUCCUGCAUGAAUGUUGUUUGACAAAAUAGUGAGCAGAAAGUAAAAGAAAAAGGAUGUAUAGAGCUAGAAAAACAGUAAAAAAAUAAAGAGGAAAGUAUUCAUAUGGAAGGUAAGUGGCUCCAAGCUAAUAGAAUUAAUGAUCUUUUUAUUAUGAAACCUAUGAUAAACUCACAGAAUAUCUGUGUGUCUUUGCUUCUAUUAUAUAUGCAUAAACAUCAUAAAUCCUGUCGUUCUGUAUUUGAUUGUUAGUUUCUCUCUAGGUUUCUAUUCAAAAAUAUGUUGCUCAUCUUGAGGUUCUGUUUUCUAUAAGACCUACAAAUUGCAAUCAUACAGUAGUUCAUCACUGUGUAUUUUUGCAAAAUCAAUAUCUCAGAGUGCAAAGAGUAAGAGAGGUUGUACUGUUUAUACUUCAUGAACUAUAAUGUGCUACUCCGGAUGAUUAAAUGA